rnacentral:tRNA from 1 species
GGAGAGAUGGCUGAGCGGCUGAAAGCACCUUCCUGCUAAGAAGGUAAGCCUCCAAAAGGGGCUUCGAGGGUUCGAAUCCCUCUCUCUCCG